GAUUCUCUAACCUUCAUUCCAAAUUACUCUACAGCUAAAUAGCUGCUCAUGCUAUUGUGAGACUCAGCUUGAGGGGUGGCUUAUCCUGUGUGGUCCUUGGACACUCCCAGCCCUAAAGCACCUACAGGUGACUUUUUCAGGCUGACAAGACUUCUUAUUCUGAGAGAAUCCAGGCAAGAAUGAAGAUUUAAAAUUCUAAUUGUAGUUGUUCCAAUUCCAGGUGCCUGGUCCUGGCCCAACCAGCUGUGAAGAGUUAGUCACACGAUAUAAACAUGGCUGCCAAGGGCCCACUCCUGGAGGUUGGGAAUACUCAAGGUGUGGGAGAGGCCCGACAUGCCAAAGGUCAUGUACUUCUCUAUCACCCUGCUUAUUUCAUUUAUAUGCAGAGUACCUCAUCCAAGAUACCUGGCUAGAUGAAGCACAAGCUGGAGUCAAGAUUGCCAGGAGAAAUAUUAAUAACCUCAGACAUGCAGAUGAUACCACCCUUAUGGCAGAAAGCAAAGAGUAAUUAAAGAGCCUCUUGGUGAAGGUGAAGCAGGAGAGUGAAAAAGCUGGCUUAAAAUUCAACAUUCAAAAAACGAAGAUCACAGCAUCUGGUCCCAUCAGUUCAGUUCAGUUCAGUUCAGCCGCUCAGUCGUGUCCGACUCUUUGCGACCCCACGAAUCUCAGCACGCCAGGCCUCCCUGUCCAUCACCAACUCCCAGAGUUCACUCAGACUCACGUCCUUCGAGUCAGUGAUGCCAUCCAGCCAUCUCAUCCUCUGUUGUCCCCUUCUCCUCCUGCCCCCAAUCCCUCCCAGCAUCAGAGUAUUUUCCAGUGAGUCAACUCUUCGCAUGAGGUGUCCAAAGUACUGGAGUUUCAGCUUUAGCAUCAUUCCUUCCAAAGAAAUCCCAGGGCUGAUCUCCUUCAGAAUGGACUGGUUGGGUCCCAUCACUUCAUGGCAAAUUGAUGGAGAAACAAUGGAAACAGUGACAUUUUAUUUUCUUGGGCUCCAAAAUCACUGCAGAUGGUGACUGAAGCCAUGAAAUGACAAGACGUUUGCUCCUUGGACAAACCUAGACAGCAUAUUAACAAGCAGAGACAAUACUUUGCCUACAAAGGUCUGUAUAAUCAAAGCUAUGAUUUUUCCAGUAGUCAUGUACUUAUGUGAGAACUGGACAAUAAAAAAGGCUUGAGCACUGAGGAACUGAUGCUUUUGUACUGUUGUGUUGGAGAAGCCUCAUGAGAGUCCCUUGGACAGCAGGAGCUCAAACCACUCAAUCCUAAAGGGAAUCAACCCUGAA
ensembl:lncRNA